rfam:Sorghum bicolor cultivar BTx623 chromosome 10, whole genome shotgun sequence.
AUUCCAUGAUGGGAACAUUCUAGGAUGUAGUCUUGAAAACGCUCCCAUGCUUCUGGAACAGACUCGUCAUGUUGUUGCUGAAAGCUUGAAAUCUUCCCACAGAGAGC